rnacentral:rRNA from 1 species
UACGUAGGGUGCAAGCGUUAAUCGGAAUUACUGGGCGUAAAGGGCUCGUAGGCGGCCAACUAAGUCAGACGUGAAAUCCCUCGGCUUAACCGGGGAACUGCGUCUGAUACUGGAUGGCUUGAGAUUGGGAGAGGGAUGCGGAAUUCCAGGUGUAGCGGUGAAAUGCGUAGAUAUCUGGAGGAACACCGGUGGCGAAGGCGGCAUCCUGGACCAACACUGACGCUGAGGAGCGAAAGCCAGGGGAGCAAACGGG